rnacentral:rRNA from 1 species
UACGAAGGGGGCUAGCGUUGCUCGGAAUCACUGGGCGUAAAGCGCACGUAGGCGGACUCUUAAGUCAGGGGUGAAAUCCUGGAGCUCAACUCCAGAACUGCCUUUGAUACUGAGAGCCUUGAGUUCGGGAGAGGUGAGUGGAACUGCGAGUGUAGAGGUGAAAUUCGUAGAUAUUCGCAAGAACACCAGUGGCGAAGGCGGGUCUCUGGACAGUUCCUGACGCUGAGGCACGAAGGUCAGGGGAGCAAACGGG